GUCCACGCUGUAAACGUUGGGCACUAGGUGUGGGACUCUAUCGACGGGUUCCGUGCCGUAGCUAACGCAUUAAGUGCCCCGCCUGGGGAGUACGGCCGCAAGGCUAAAACUCAAAGGAAUUGACGGGGGCCCGCACAAGCGGCGGAGCAUGUUGCUUAAUUCGAUGCAACGCGAAGAACCUUACCUGGGCUUGACAUGGAGAGAAAAGCAGCGGAAACGUUGUGUCCUCGGGUUCGUCCACAGGUGGUGCAUGGCUGUCGU
rnacentral:rRNA from 1 species